rnacentral:piRNA from 1 species
UGUAUUCUCUCUGUGAGCUUACAUCUGUG